GGGGGUGGGUGUGAUGAGGGAGACUAUUUCAAAAGCUUCCUAGGAAGCUUUCAUUGAAAGCUUCAUUUCACCCCUUUAAUUUUUUAUUUUUUACUUAUUACCCAAAAGCUCCAUUAUUCCCUAAAUUGCAAAACUGCCCCUCAUUUGUUUUUAAAUAUUUUCUUCCCCCUUUCUUUUUCAUCACUCAUUUCAGUUCUUACUAUAAUUAAAAUACAUGAUCAUUUUUCUCUUAAUUAUCUACAACCUAAAAAACUCCUGUAAAUCUCUUUGUCCAAAUAAAAUCCCCUGCCUAUAAAUUCUCCUUGAUAAAAUUAAAACCUAAGAUAAAUUCCUUAAUAACAAAUUUGAAAUCUUAUAAACUAAAAUCCCCAACUAAUCAUCAGCACCCUAAAUAUCAAAAUUAUUAUUUCAUCCAUAAAAUAUUACAGUUCUGUGUUAACCUAAAAAAUUAAAACCUCAUUAUUUUGGGUGCUACAGUACAGUUGACAGCAGCAUUUAUUCUCUUAAGUAACUUAUCACAAGUCAAAAUUCUGUGGUGUAGCUGUCCACGCCAUACAAGAGACACAGAACAUCAUAUUUCCUUCCAAGAAAGAAAACCUUCAACCUGAAGCAUUCACUAUAAAGAAUGAUUUAACCUCACAUAUGUAAAUUCUAGGUAAUUCCCAACCAGAAACAUCCAUUCUUCCUAUCUAAUCCAUGCCGCAUACAAUCUAAGAAAACUAACCCUAUUACUAAUAUGUGUACAGGGAUAAGUAAUUACUAUUUCAUGUUGAAUUCUUUACUUCAAUAAAAACAAAUAUAUUACCAAAAUGUUCUCAAGGAAAGCCCUGAAAGCCAUGUCUCACAAAUUUUAAACUGAAGAAUAUUCCUCUAAAAUAUCUACAUAUUGUACAUAACCUACAUAACUUGCAAAACUGAGCAAACCAGGAGUACUUACAUAUCCAAAAAAAAAGCUAGAUAAUUAAAGCAUCUUGCAUUGCAAAACUGGAGAUUGUAUGCCAAAAAAAAAAAAAAAAGACAGAGAAGAAGCCAAACAUUGAUUACCCAGUUGUAUGGACCCAAAUAAUAAAUAAUCCAGAUAUCAGAAAUAUUUAAAUCUAUUCACGCCAAGAUUUGUGACCUUUCUUAUUGUAGCCAAAUCCAUAGCACUGGCGCCAGAUUUUCCCUUAUCACUGUCCGGCUCACUAGAAAGGAUAUUAAAAGAAUGUGUAGGUCCUCCACAAAGGCCACAUUGAAUUAAACUUGGCUUGCAGUUCUGUUCAAGAGAAGCAGCCUUAAAAAUCAAGUACAUCUUCUCUGCAUCAGUCUGCAAAUGUAAAACACAUUUUAGGAUCCAAAAGAGCAGGAGACAAUAAGGCACUCAAACAAUUUUUAUUUCUCAGCACUCACUCAAUCGGACUUAACACAACAAAAAGUCCCUACUUCAACUAUCACAGUAAGAAAUUCAAAUAAAGCCCCCAAAUAUAAAUGUUACAUAGCUCGGUAGAGCCGUGGGGCAUCUCCACUAAAAUUGGUAAACUCAACUAGCAUGUAGGAGUGAUCGCAAUCAUCUUGUUUUCUAAGAACAUAAUAACACCACCAAAUAAACUCAGAAAUAUACAGAUCAAAUACUGCACUCCUUGUCAAUCUAACAGAAUCGAAGAAUGAUAAUCAUGCCAAUGGCCAAAUUGACAGUGAGACUUUAUAAAAGACAUGAAAUAGCAUGUUGCAGAGUCGGCUUGUUCCAUAUGGAAGCAUCUAAAAUAAGAGUGCUAAGACCUUGUAAGACUAGAGAAGAUGACGAUGCAAUUGACCACUUUCAUGAACAAGUCAGGCAGAAGCAAUAUAAGAAAAUGUUGAAAGUUAGUUGCAAUUAGUCCUGUGCAAUAAUGUGAGUACCAGGCAAUAUAUUUUAAGAAGAGGGCCUUGAAGGGCCAAGACGAAGGUAAACAGGAUGUAGAUUGCAAGAAGCAGCUUUCAAUUUCAUAAAGUAUAGCCCCAUAAAUGAUUGACCAAUACAAAUAGUAGAAACAAGAAUUUGCCAUUCACUUCAAUCACAAAGUAACAUCUGCUAAUCAUUUGGUAUUUGGUAUAAAACAAAAUUCACAGUCCAAAUAACAAUGCUAAUCAGGUCCACAUGAUAUUAUGAUUCAUAGUAUUUGGAAAAUUCCUUAAUCUAGAGUAUGACAUCUAAAUUGUGAAUCAUAGCUAAACAUUUACCAAAACCAUUUGUGCUCUCAGAUUGAAAGAGAAGCAUAACACUUGAUUAUCAAAAAAGAGGUAGUAGACUCCCCUGGAUAUGCAAAUUGGUUUUCAGAAAAUAAAGGAUACAAAAGAAAGAUUCCAUCCAAAAAGCAUACAACUUUGCUAGGGCGCGUAGAAAUAGAUGCUCAGGAAACAAAACAAAAAAAAGUAGAGUGGGAAUUAAUUUCUAUUUUUUUUAUAAGAAAACACUAUAUGAUAUAUACAUCCACCUUGAAUUGGGAGAUGGCUCCAAAAUUAGACUCUGGCAUAAUCUAUGGUGUGGAAAUAUGGCCUUUAAAAAAGCCUUUCCAGUUUCAUUUGAUAUUGCUUGCGCAAAGGAAACUUUUGUGGCUGCUUAAUUCGAACUUUCUAGAGGUUCCAUUUAGUGGAAUGUGAGCUUUGCUAGAGUGGCUUAUGAUUAGGAGAUGAAAAUCUUUGCCUCGUUCUUCAAGGUGUUGUAUUUAGUGAAAGUGAGACGGAAAUGUGAGGACAAGCUGUAGUGAGUCCCAUGGACAAUCUCCAAAAGUAACGCGUCAAUGUGGUUGAUAGGUGUUAUAUGUAUAAAAUGAAUGGGGAGUCUAUGGACCUUUUUCUUCUCCAUUUUGAGGCCGUUUGUGCCAUUUGCAAUGUUUUCUUCAGCCAAUUUAGGUCGUCUUAGGUUAUGCCUAGACGAGUAGUAAACUUGUAUGCUUGUUGGUGGCUUCUCGGCAGCACUCGAAGUGCUACGAUGUGGAAGAUGAUGUCUUUGUGUCUUUUGUGGUACCUAUGGAGGGAAAGGAAUGACCGAAGUUUUGAAUACCAUGAAAGGACUUUGGAGAAAAUUAAGUCUUUAUUUUACAACAUUUUGUAUCUUUGGAUAUUUGUUUCUUCUUUGGUGAUUAGUUAUCAUGAUUGUCUUGUUCUUUUUGCUCUUAUUAGAUAGGUAGCUUCUCUUGUGUACAUCUUGUGUACUUAGGAACGCCUUAUGCUUUUAAUGAUAUUUCAGUUACUUAUCAAAAAUAUAUAUAUACAGAUAUUAGCAAGUAAGAGCACUAGCAGCAGCUUCCCUAAAUUUUUCUUAAAUUUAAGAAACCAAACUACUUUUUUUUUUUUUGAUAACUAAAAGUCAAUUUUAUAAAAGCGUAAAGCACCCCUAAGUACACAGGAAAUAUACAAAAGGAACCCCUAACUAGGAGGCAAAAUAAACAAAAAAAUCACUGAAACUAAGAAACAACAGGGAAACAAACGCCGCUGUCCAUAGGAACAAAGUCUCAUAGAAAAAAGAUAAAAUAUCCUCCAACGACUUCUCCAUAUCCUCAAAGUUUCUGUCAUUCCUUUCUUUCCACAAACACCAAAAGAGGCACGUAGGAACCAUUUUCCACACAGCAGCGCUCCUAGGCCUACCCGAGGACCACCAGUAGCCUAAUAAAUCCACAAUUCAUCUAGGCAUCACCCAGGACAGCUCAAAACGACUAAAAAACGCACUCCAAACGGUGUACGCUACGUCGCAAUGGAGAAGAAGGUGAUCCACAGAUUCUCCAGUCCUCUUACACA
rnacentral:lncRNA from 1 species